rnacentral:rRNA from 1 species
UACGUAGGGUCCAAGCGUUAUCCGGAAUCACUGGGCGUAAAGCGUGCGUAGGUGGAUUGUUAAGUGCGAUGCGAAAUCCUGUGGCUCAACCAUAUGGACUGUAUCGCAUACUGGCUAUCUAGAGGACAUGAGAGGCAAGUGGAAUUACUGGUGUAGCAGUGAAAUGCGUAGAGAUCAGUAGGAGCACCAAUGGCGAAGGCAGCUUGCUGGCAUGUAUCUGACGCUAAGGCACGAAAGCGUGGGGAGCGAACAGG